rnacentral:rRNA from 1 species
GACGGAGGGGGCUAGCGUUGUUCGGAAUUACUGGGCGUAAAGGGCGCGUAGGCGGAUUAGUAAGUUGGGAGUGAAAGCCCGGGGCUUAACCUCGGAACUGCUUUCAAAACUGCUAGUCUUGAGUGAAGUAGGGGAUGAUGGAAUUCCUAGUGUAGAGGUGAAAUUCUUAGAUAUUAGGAGGAACACCGGUGGCGAAGGCGGUCAUCUGGACUUCAACUGACGCUGAGGCGCGAAAGCGUGGGGAGCAAACAGGAUUAGAUACCCUGGUAGUCCACGCCGUAAACGAUGAGUGCUAGAUAUCGGGAGUUUUUCUUUCGGUUUCGUAGUUAACACGUUAAGCACUCCGCCCGGGGAGUACGAUCGCAAGAUUAAAACUCAAAGGAAUUGACGGGGGCUCGCACAAGUGGUGGAGCAUGCGGUUUAAUUCGAUGCUACGCGAAAAACCUUACCAACCCUUGACAUGGUGAUCGUAGGUUACAGAAAUGUAACCGUCAGUUCGGCUGGAUCACACACAGGUGUUGCAUGGCGGUCGUCAGCUCGUGUCGUGAGAUGUUGGGUUAAGUCCCGCAACGAGCGCAACCCUCAUCCUUAUUUGCCAGCGGUUAGGCCGGGAACUAUAAGGAAACUGCCGGUGAUAAGUCGGAGGAAGGUGGGGAUGAUGUCAAGUCAUCAUGGCCCUUACGGGUUGGGCUACACGCGUGCUACAAUGGUACUUACAGAGGGAAGCAAGACGGCAACGUGGAGCAAAUCCCUAAAAAGUAUCUCAGUUCGGAUUGUUCUCUGCAACUCGAGAGCAUGAAGUCGGAAUCACUAGUAAUCGCGGAUCAGCAUGCCGCGGUGAAUACGUUCUCGGGCCU